rnacentral:rRNA from 2 species
UGCAGUCGAACGAUGACGACCGUGCUUGCACGGUCUGAUUAGUGGCGAACGGGUGAGUAACACGUGAGUAACCUGCCCCUCACUUCGGGAUAACCUCGGGAAAUCGUGGCUAAUACCGGAUACGAGCAUCCACCGCAUGGUGGUUGUUGGAAAGUUUUUCGGUGGGGGAUGGACUCGCGGCCUAUCAGUUUGUUGGUGAGGUAAUGGCUCACCAAGGCGAUGACGGGUAGCCGGCCUGAGAGGGCGACCGGCCACACUGGGACUGAGACACGGCCCAGACUCCUACGGGAGGCAGCAGUGGGGAAUAUUGCACAAUGGGCGAAAGCCUGAUGCAGCGACGCCGCGUGAGGGAUGACUGCCUUCGGGUUGUAAACCUCUUUCAGUAGGGAAGAAGCGAAAGUGACGGUACCUGCAGAAGAAGCGCCGGCUAACUACGUGCCAGCAGCCGCGGUAAUACGUAGGGCGCAAGCGUUGUCCGGAAUUAUUGGGCGUAAAGAGCUUGUAGGUGGCUUGUCGCGUCUGCCGUGAAAACCCGAGGCUCAACCUCGGGCGUGCGGUGGGUACGGGCAGGCUAGAGUGUGGUAGGGGAGACUGGAACUCCUGGUGUAGCGGUGAAAUGCGCAGAUAUCAGGAAGAACACCGAUGGCGAAGGCAGGUCUCUGGGCCAUUACUGACACUGAGAAGCGAAAGCAUGGGUAGCGAACAGGAUUAGAUACCCUGGUAGUCCAUGCCGUAAACGUUGGGCACUAGGUGUG